rnacentral:rRNA from 1 species
GUAGUCAUAUGCUUGUCUCAAAGAUUAAGCCAUGCAUGUCUAAGUACAAGCCUCAAAAUGGUGAAACCGCGAAUGGCUCAUUAAAUCAGUUAUGGUUCCUUAGAUCGUACAAUCCUACUUGGAUAACUGUGGUAAUUCUAGAGCUAAUACAUGCAACGAAGCUCCGACCUUCGGGGAAGAGCGCUUUUAUUAGAUCAAGACCAAUCGCGCUUCACGGCGCGUCUCGUUGGUGACUCUGGAUAACUUUGAGCUGAUCGCAUGGCCUCGAGCCGGCGACGUAUCUUUCAAAUGUCUGCCCUAUCAACUUUCGAUGGUACGUGAUAUGCCUACCAUGGUUGCAACGGGUAACGGGGAAU